UAAUUCUGUUCUGUGGCAUAUGG
rnacentral:misc_RNA from 1 species